UUCUUCUUAUAUUUUCUCUUUCUUCCUUCUUUCUGUUUCUCUUAUUCUCUUCUGUCGAUCUCAAGUCAAGAGGAUUUAGCGAUAUUUGUGUUUUUGAUUCGUGAAAGCUUUGUAACCUGAUGAAUCGAGGAAGCUUGUGUUGAUACUGAAGAUGUUUGAGUUUCAGAAAAAGAAGUGAUUAACGCUGUUGCAAGCUGAAGUUAGAGUUUCGUCUGUUUUGAUGAUGUUGUGGAAUCGACAGGUUAUUUAGGUUUAUGAUAGAUGAAGAAUAAAGGGGUUAUCAAUUAAUUGAUGAGAUGGUUUUGAUUUGAAGAUUGAGAUCGUGAGUUAGGGUUUCUUGAACAAUAACUCAUAGAAGCUUUUGAAGAUGAAAUUGAUGUUCUACAAAAGGGGAUUCAAGAGUAUUGUUGUCUAAUUGAUCCGGUAGAGUUGUGUUAGUGAAGAAUCACGAGUUAGGGUUUGGGAUUUGAAGUCGUUAAUGAAAUUAGGGUUCCUAUGUAAAUCAAAGAUGGUGAUGAAGAUUGUUGGGUGUUUUUAGUUUGAUUUGAUUGUACAGUUGAGGCAGAGGAAGGAAGAAUUCAACCUUAGUUGCCUGAGCAGCACUGCUUUAAGGUAAUGUUUCUUAAUAGUAAAAUCAGUUGGUUUAUAAGUUUUUCCAUGAACUGUAAAUGAAGUUUGAUGUGGUAUGAAUCUGUUUAUGGAUGUGAUGAGGUUUAGUUUGUGUUGGUUGUAAGAAGAUGAUAUAUGUUAGAAUGGUGCAAGGGUUGAGCUUUAUUAAUUGAAAUGGAAUUGUGAUAGAUGUGUGUGUAUGGACUGCACUUGAGAUUUUGGAGAACUGCUGGCGUUGCUUUGGUUAUGUUGGUGUUGGUAUGAAAUGAGAAUGGAGUUUGUUGUUGAACUGAGUUCCAGGUGGAAUGAGAUGUCAUGGUUUGAGUGAAUUCUGAGUGGUACCGCAGCAGUGAAGAUUGUUUAAUUGGCAGAGAUUGGUUUUGGGGCUAAGUAUAUGAGUUAUAGAUGAAAAGGGUGAUUGAAUUGAGAUAAGUCUGGUGGCAGAUAGUUAGGAGUUGAGAUGUCAGUGGAACUAAAAUUGCAGGUGCAAAUCUCAUGGCUAGUUAAUGAGAUAACAAUGGUUGUGGUGCUGUUGAUUUGAAUAGUGUGUGUGGAAUACAAGAAUUGUUGAUGGGUUCUGCUGAGUGUGGAGAUGGAGUUGAGAAGAAUUGAGUUGUUGUGAGAAAUAAUUGAUAACGAAAGUUGCAAGACUGUAUUUAGUGAGAGCAGUGAAAGCUUGGAAAAUCUGCAAUUGCAGUUUCAGAGACAGAUCAGAGUUGCGCAGCGGAAGCUUUGUGGCGUUGAGUCAACUGCUAUGUUUAUUAUGUUGCAUAUUUUUAUUUGCAAACCAAAUGACUAUUGUAUAUGUAUUAUUUGAGAGGAGUUAUUGUAUAUAUAUUUUAGAGCGGGGCUA